AGAGUUUGAUCCUGGCUCAGGAUGAACGCUGGCGGCGUGCUUAACACAUGCAAGUCGAACGAAGCGCUUGAAUGGAAUUCUUCGGAAGGAAGCUCAAGUGACUGAGUGGCGGACGGGUGAGUAACGCGUGGGUAACCUGCCUCAUACAGGGGGAUAACAGUUAGAAAUGACUGCUAAUACCGCAUAAGCACACGUGAUCGCAUGAUCGAGUGUGAAAAACUCCGGUGGUAUGAGAUGGACCCGCGUCUGAUUAGCUAGUUGGUGGGGUAACGGCCCACCAAGGCGACGAUCAGUAGCCGGCCUGAGAGGGUGAACGGCCACAUUGGGACUGAGACACGGCCCAAACUCCUACGGGAGGCAGCAGUGGGGAAUAUUGCACAAUGGGGGAAACCCUGAUGCAGCGACGCCGCGUGAAGGAUGAAGUAUUUCGGUAUGUAAACUUCUAUCAGCAGGGAAGAAAAUGACGGUACCUGACUAAGAAGCCCCGGCUAACUACGUGCCAGCAGCCGCGGUAAUACGUAGGGGGCAAGCGUUAUCCGGAUUUACUGGGUGUAAAGGGAGCGUAGACGGCAGUGCAAGUCUGAAGUGAAAGCCCGGGGCUCAACCCCGGGACUGCUUUGGAAACUGUGCAGCUAGAGUGUCGGAGAGGCAAGCGGAAUUCCUAGUGUAGCGGUGAAAUGCGUAGAUAUUAGGAGGAACACCAGUGGCGAAGGCGGCUUGCUGGACGAUGACUGACGUUGAGGCUCGAAAGCGUGGGGAGCAAACAGGAUUAGAUACCCUGGUAGUCCACGCCGUAAACGAUGACUACUAGGUGUCGGGGGACAAACCUCUUCGGUGCCGCCACCCACCCAAUAAG
rnacentral:rRNA from 1 species